rnacentral:lncRNA from 1 species
AUGAGAAGUCAGUCUGAUCUUUCCUAUCUUCCUUCCAUAGGCCUGAACCAUGAGGAAGGCUUUCUCCCACCUUCUACUCUGCCCAGUAUUUUUCAUGAGGUCUGUGGAAAAGAGCCUGUGAGUGGACAUUAUACAAAGGAAAGAAGAGAGCUAUAUGUGACUUCGGGCAACUGUAUCAGUCUGGGCAGGAAACAGCUGCCAUUGUCAAAUCCGGUCAUUGAAAACAGUUUGCAAAAAGAGGCCAUUCCCAAAGGUGAGCAGAGAGACAGUGCAGACUCAGGGUUGGUGACAGUGUGUGUUCCAGUGGGUGGCUGAAGCCAUUGCCAUGCAGGAGAGAAGCAACGACUAGAACCCUGAGAGAAAGAGAGGUUGUGCCCUAUGCCAGAAGAGGAGCUGCUCCAUUAAUCAAGAAGGGGAGUUUAAUGCACAUUAGAAAGCAUGUCACUUCGCUCAGAACUCCAUACAUCCAGAGCAUCAUCUUUCCCAGUUUCCUGCUCCUGAAUCUCUCUUUUCUUGGAAGAGGUGACCUGUGACCUCUCAUCCCCAUCCAAGAGGUUCAGUCCCAUCCCAGACAUGAGCACAGAUUUUCAGUCUUGGGAGUAUAUGGAAAGACAGAGGCAUUGAUCUCUGACUUUGGACUGAUAUUCAAAAUUCAUUUCUGGUUAUAAGAAACAACGAAUCCAGGAGUUCCCAUCAUGGUUCAGUGGUAAUGAACCUGACUAGUAUCCAUGAGGACAUGGGUUUGAGUCCUGGCCUUGCUCAGUGGGUUAAGGAUCCAGCAUUGCCAUGAGCUGUGUGUAGGUUGUAGAUGGGGCUCGGACCCCGAGUUGCUGUGGCUGUGGUGUAGGCUGGCAGCUGCAGCUCCGAUUUGACCACUAGCCUGGAAACUCCCAUAUACCAUGGGUGCAGCCCUAAAAAGACGAAAAAAAAACAAACAAAAAAAAAACCAGCAAAAAA